CCCCUGGUGGUUCAGUGGUUAGGACUCUGUACUUCCACUGCAGAGGGCCUGGGUUCAAUCCUAGUCAGGAAA
rfam:Ovis aries breed Texel chromosome 10, whole genome shotgun sequence.